CACAGAGAAGCUUGCUUCUUGGGUGGCGAGUGGCGAACGGGUGAGUAAUAUAUCGGAACGUACCGAGCAGUGGGGGAUAACUAAUCGAAAGAUUAGCUAAUACCGCAUAUUUUCUGAGGAAGAAAGCAGGGGACCAUUUGGCCUUGCGCUGUUUGAGCGGCCGAUAUCUGAUUAGCUAGUUGGUGGGGUAAAGGCCUACCAAGGCGACGAUCAGUAGCGGGUCUGAGAGGAUGAUCCGCCACACUGGGACUGAGACACGGCCCAGACUCCUACGGGAGGCAGCAGUGGGGAAUUUUGGACAAUGGGCGCAAGCCUGAUCCAGCCAUGCCGCGUGUCUGAAGAAGGCCUUCGGGUUGUAAAGGACUUUUGUCAGGGAAGAAAAGGGCGGGGUUAAUACCCCUGUCUGAUGACGGUACCUGAAGAAUAAGCACCGGCUAACUACGUGCCAGCAGCCGCGGUAAUACGUAGGGUGCGAGCGUUAAUCGGAAUUACUGGGCGUAAAGCGGGCGCAGACGGUUACUUAAGCAGGAUGUGAAAUCCCCGGGCUCAACCUGGGAACUGCGUUCUGAACUGGGUGACUAGAGUGUGUCAGAGGGAGGUAGAAUUCCACGUGUAGCAGUGAAAUGCGUAGAGAUGUGGAGGAAUACCGAUGGCGAAGGCAGCCUCCUGGGAUAACACUGACGUUCAUGCCCGAAAGCGUGGGUAGCAAACAGGAUUAGAUACCCUGGUAGUCCACGCCCUAAACGAUGUCGAUUAGCUGUUGGGCAGCAUGACUGCUUAGUAGCGAAGCUAACGCGUGAAAUCGACCGCCUGGGGAGUACGGUCGCAAGAUUAAAACUCAAAGGAAUUGACGGGGACCCGCACAAGCGGUGGAUG
rnacentral:rRNA from 1 species